ACUCCUACGGGAGGCAGCAGUGGGGAAUAUUGGACAGUGGGCGAAAGCCUGAUCCAGCCAUGCCGCGUGCGUGAAGAAGGUCUUCGGAUUGUAAAGCACUUUAAGUUGGGAGGAAGGGCAGUAAAUUAAUACUUUGCUGUUUUGACGUUACCGACAGAAUAAGCACCGGCUAACUCUGUGCCAGCAGCCGCGGUAAU
rnacentral:rRNA from 1 species